UUAAGUUAUUAAGGGCGCACGGUGGAUGCCUUGGCACUAGAAGCCGAUGAAGGACGUUACUAACGACGAUAUGCUUUGGGGAGCUGUAAGUAAGCUUUGAUCCAGAGAUUUCCGAAUGGGGAAACCCAGCAUGAGUUAUGUCAUGUUAUCGAUAUGUGAAUACAUAGCAUAUCAGAAGGCACACCCGGAGAACUGAAACAUCUUAGUACCCGGAGGAAGAGAAAGAAAAUUCGAUUCCCUUAGUAGCGGCGAGCGAAACGGGAAGAGCCCAAACCAACAAGCUUGCUUGUUGGGGUUGUAGGACACUCUAUACGGAGUUACAAAGGACGACAUUAGACGAAUCAUCUGGAAAGAUGAAUCAAAGAAGGUAAUAAUCCUGUAGUCGAAAAUGUUGUCUCUCUUGAGUGGAUCCUGAGUACGACGGAGCACGUGAAAUUCCGUCGGAAUCUGGGAGGACCAUCUCCUAAGGCUAAAUACUCUCUAGUGACCGAUAGUGAACCAGUACCGUGAGGGAAAGGUGAAAAGCACCCCGGAAGGGGAGUGAAAUAGAACCUGAAACCGUGUGCUUACAAGUAGUCAGAGCCCGUUAAUGGGUGAUGGCGUGCCUUUUGUAGAAUGAACCGGCGAGUUACGAUUUGAUGCAAGGUUAAGCAGUAAAUGUGGAGCCGUAGCGAAAGCGAGUCUGAAUAGGGCGUUUAGUAUUUGGUCGUAGACCCGAAACCAGGUGAUCUACCCUUGGUCAGGUUGAAGUUCAGGUAACACUGAAUGGAGGACCGAACCGACUUACGUUGAAAAGUGAGCGGAUGAACUGAGGGUAGCGGAGAAAUUCCAAUCGAACCUGGAGAUAGCUGGUUCUCUCCGAAAUAGCUUUAGGGCUAGCCUCAAGUGAUGAUUAUUGGAGGUAGAGCACUGUUUGGACGAGGGGCCCCUCUCGGGUUACCGAAUUCAGACAAACUCCGAAUGCCAAUUAAUUUAACUUGGGAGUCAGAACAUGGGUGAUAAGGUCCGUGUUCGAAAGGGAAACAGCCCAGACCACCAGCUAAGGUCCCAAAAUAUAUGUUAAGUGGAAAAGGAUGUGGCGUUGCCCAGACAACUAGGAUGUUGGCUUAGAAGCAGCCAUCAUUUAAAGAGUGCGUAAUAGCUCACUAGUCGAGUGACACUGCGCCGAAAAUGUACCGGGGCUAAACAUAUUACCGAAGCUGUGGAUUGUCCUUUGGACAAUGGUAGGAGAGCGUUCUAAGGGCGUUGAAGCAUGAUCGUAAGGACAUGUGGAGCGCUUAGAAGUGAGAAUGCCGGUGUGAGUAGCGAAAGACGGGUGAGAAUCCCGUCCACCGAUUGACUAAGGUUUCCAGAGGAAGGCUCGUCCGCUCUGGGUUAGUCGGGUCCUAAGCUGAGGCCGACAGGCGUAGGCGAUGGAUAACAGGUUGAUAUUCCUGUACCACCUAUAAUCGUUUUAAUCGAUGGGGGGACGCAGUAGGAUAGGCGAAGCGUGCGAUUGGAUUGCACGUCUAAGCAGUAAGGCUGAGUAUUAGGCAAAUCCGGUACUCGUUAAGGCUGAGCUGUGAUGGGGAGAAGACAUUGUGUCUUCGAGUCGUUGAUUUCACACUGCCGAGAAAAGCCUCUAGAUAGAAAAUAGGUGCCCGUACCGCAAACCGACACAGGUAGUCAAGAUGAGAAUUCUAAGGUGAGCGAGCGAACUCUCGUUAAGGAACUCGGCAAAAUGACCCCGUAACUUCGGGAGAAGGGGUGCUCUUUAGGGUUAACGCCCAGAAGAGCCGCAGUGAAUAGGCCCAAGCGACUGUUUAUCAAAAACACAGGUCUCUGCUAAACCGUAAGGUGAUGUAUAGGGGCUGACGCCUGCCCGGUGCUGGAAGGUUAAGAGGAGUGGUUAGCUUCUGCGAAGCUACGAAUCGAAGCCCCAGUAAACGGCGGCCGUAACUAUAACGGUCCUAAGGUAGCGAAAUUCCUUGUCGGGUAAGUUCCGACCCGCACGAAAGGCGUAACGAUUUGGGCACUGUCUCAACGAGAGACUCGGUGAAAUCAUAGUACCUGUGAAGAUGCAGGUUACCCGCGACAGGACGGAAAGACCCCGUGGAGCUUUACUGUAGCCUGAUAUUGAAAUUCGGCACAGCUUGUACAGGAUAGGUAGGAGCCUUUGAAACGUGAGCGCUAGCUUACGUGGAGGCGCUGGUGGGAUACUACCCUAGCUGUGUUGGCUUUCUAACCCGCACCACUUAUCGUGGUGGGAGACAGUGUCAGGCGGGCAGUUUGACUGGGGCGGUCGCCUCCUAAAAGGUAACGGAGGCGCUCAAAGGUUCCCUCAGAAUGGUUGGAAAUCAUUCAUAGAGUGUAAAGGCAUAAGGGAGCUUGACUGCGAGACCUACAAGUCGAGCAGGGUCGAAAGACGGACUUAGUGAUCCGGUGGUUCCGCAUGGAAGGGCCAUCGCUCAACGGAUAAAAGCUACCCCGGGGAUAACAGGCUUAUCUCCCCCAAGAGUUCACAUCGACGGGGAGGUUUGGCACCUCGAUGUCGGCUCAUCGCAUCCUGGGGCUGUAGUCGGUCCCAAGGGUUGGGCUGUUCGCCCAUUAAAGCGGUACGCGAGCUGGGUUCAGAACGUCGUGAGACAGUUCGGUCCCUAUCCGUCGUGGGCGUAGGAAAUUUGAGAGGAGCUGUCCUUAGUACGAGAGGACCGGGAUGGACAUACCUCUGGUGUACCAGUUGUCGUGCCAACGGCAUAGCUGGGUAGCUAUGUGUGGACGGGAUAAGUGCUGAAAGCAUCUAAGCAUGAAGCCCCCCUCAAGAUGAGAUUUCCCAACUUCGGUUAUAAGAUCCCUCAAAGAUGAUGAGGUUAAUAGAUUCGAGGUGGAAGCAUGGUGACAUGUGGAGCUGACGAAUACUAAUCGAUCGAAGACUUAAUCAA
rnacentral:rRNA from 2 species